rnacentral:rRNA from 1 species
UACGAGCGGCCCAACCGUUAUUCGGAAUUACUGGGCUUAAAGAGUUCGUAGGCGGCAUUGCAAGUAGGGUGUGAAAGCCCUCGGCUCAACCGAGGAAUUGCGCUCUAAACUGCAGUGCUUGAGGAACCUAGAGGUGAGCAGAACAGAUGGUGGAGCGGUGAAAUGCGUUGAUAUCAUCUGGAAUACCGGAGGCGAAGGCGGCUCACUGGGAGUUUUCUGACGCUGAGGAACGAAAGCCAGGGUAGCGAACGGG